AGCUGCUUCCUGGUUCUCCACGUGCUGCCAGCAGCGCUGGAGCUGCCCGAGCCGGAGCGGAGCCGCUGUUCUCAGCUGCAGCCAGGAUCUGCCCCCGGCCCCGCUGGGAUCCAGGCCAGAGAAUAACAUCCAUGUUUCGCUGCAGAUCAUCUCGUCCUCCCAGGGGCAAGGAAAUGGCUGCAAUGGAGCUGGCUCAGGGGCCGGUGACCUUCGAGGAGGUGGCUGUGUAUUUCUCCAGGGAAGAGGGGACUCUGCUGGACCCCACUCAGAAAGCCCUCUACAGAGAUGUCAUGCAG